rnacentral:rRNA from 1 species
GAUGAACGCUGGCGGCGUGCCUAACACAUGCAAGUCGAGCGGUCCGACUUAACAGAAGCCUUCGGGUGGAAGAUAAAGAGGAUAGCGGCGGACGGGUGAGUAACGCGUGGGCAACCUGCCUGAUAGAGGGGGAUAGCCUUCCGAAAGGAAGAUUAAUACCGCAUAACAUGGUUUCAGGGCAUCCUGAAAUCAUCAAAGGAGCAAUCCGCUAUCAGAUGGGCCCGCGUCCCAUUAGCUAGUUGUGAGUAACGCUCACCAAGGCGACGAUGGGUAGCCGACCUGAGA